rnacentral:rRNA from 1 species
UAGACUGAUGAGUUGCGAACGGGUGAGUAACGCGUAGGUAACCUGCCUCAUAGCGGGGGAUAACUAUUGGAAACGAUAGCUAAUACCGCAUAAGAGUAAUUAACACAUGUUAGUUAUUUAAAAGGAGCAAUUGCUUCACUGUGAGAUGGACCUGCGUUGUAUUAGCUAGUUGGUGAGGUAAAGGCUCACCAAGGCGACGAUACAUAGCCGACCUGAGAGGGUGAUCGGCCACACUGGGACUGAGACACGGCCCAGACUCCUACGGGAGGCAGCAGUAGGGAAUCUUCGGCAAUGGACAGAAGUCUGACCGAGCAACGCCGCGUGAGUGAAGAAGGUUUUCGGAUCGUAAAGCUCUGUUGUUAGAGAAGAACGUUGGUAGGAGUGGAAAAUCUACCAAGUGACGGUAACUAACCAGAAAGGGACGGCUAACUACGUGCCAGCAGCCGCGGUAAUACGUAGGUCCCGAGCGUUGUCCGGA